rnacentral:lncRNA from 1 species
GUUGGUCAGGCUGUUCUUGAACUCCUGACCUCAGGUGAUCCACUCGCCUCGGCCUACCAAAGUGCUGGGAUUACAGGUGUGAGCCACUGCACCUGGCUGAGACUGCCUUUUGACUGAUGACUUAUGUUUAGCUCUGAUGUGCUGACAGGGACAAAAUGCUGGAGAAGGAAUAAAAAAGGAAUAAUCCAACAAGGAUCAAGAGAACAGGAAAGGAGACAAUAGCUAAUGAAAGGUUUCCAACAAUUUGGGGGAGUUGAAAAAAAAGAGUCGAGGUAAUUGACUUAACAGAGAAAGCUACAACCUCACUGAUUACAGAGGGGAACACGGAAAGGAGGCAAGCCUAUUUACCCCCACAGAAUCCUGGAAAAAUUCAGCAAUUGGAAGUACAAAGUGUAGGUGAGGCAAUGAGCAGAAAACAGGAAGAUUCUUUGAAAGCCUAUAUAAGCCUAUACAAUCCUCUGAUUCAUACCUUCCUCUCAUAGAGCCAGCAACUAUUCUUAUUCUACCAUCAUAAGGAACAGGAAGUUUGUUUUCUCAUAAAAUUGAACCAGAGAGGCUCUACACUUCGGUGUGCCAGGCCCAGCAAAGGAAGCAAUGAAGCAUUUUACUGAACACAGAGAGACUGAAGAAAACCUGCUGGUGGCAUGGAGUCAGAUCUCUAAACCAACUUGGUUCCAAGACACUGGCAGCAGAUACAGACUUACCUCUGGAGAAGCUGAAAGCUCUAGCUAAAAUACAUACAGAUAAUGACAUCUGGAGGUUUCCUAAUGAAAUGAUCAGGUCCCCAACCAAUCAUCUUGCUAUGAAAUCCCUCAGAGAACAAGCCACAUCCACAAACACAGAGCUUUCAGUCGACUUUUUAAUGGACUAAUUAGUCAAUUUAUGAAUGGACAACCAAAGGUCAGCAGGCAUUUGAAGAAAGGCUCUAAUACGAAAGAGAGGUAGCUUGGUACGGUGGCGUGAAAAUCCAGCACUUUGGGAGGCCGAGGCAGGCGAAUCGCCUGAGGUCAGGAGUUCAAGCCCAGCCUGACCAACAUGGUGAAACCCCAUCUCUACUAAAAAUACAAAAAUUAGCCAGGCAUGGUGGCAGGUGCCUGUAACCCCAGCUACUACAGAGGCUGAGGCAGAAGAAUCACUUGAACCUGGGAGGUGGAAGUUGCAGUGAGCUGAGAUCGUACCACUGCACUCCAGCCUGGGUGACAGAGCAAGACUCCAUCUCAAAUAAAUAAAUAAAUUACUAGAUAAAUGAGAGGCAAUGCAAACAACAAGAAAAACAUGAAACAGAAUAUGAAUGAAAAAAAGAUAAUGUUGAGAAAAAAGCAACCUUUUUUAAUGCUUAAUAUUGGUAUUUAGUAUUCUUAGAGAGUUAGUUAAAGGUCCAUGAAAGAACAAGAUGUUAUGAAAAAGGGACAGAACAAGCAAGUCUCCUUGAAAAUUAAAAAUUUGAGCACCAAAAUGAAAAAUUCAAUAAAGUAGAAGAUAAAGUCUAAGGAAGUAGGAUAAAAAGACAAAAAUAGAAAAUAGGAGUGAAAGAUAAGAAAAUUUGAAGCUAAAUCAAGGAUGUCCAAUUUUUGACAAUAAGAGUUCCAGAAAGAAAGGACAGAGAAAGGGGAAAUGGAACUUUCCAAGAACGAAAUGACGCAAUCUCCAGAUUGAAAGGGUAUAAUGGAUUAAGAUUCACUUCCAAACAUAUCAUACCCUAGAAGCUUCUGGAAAGAGAAAAAAGUAAGCCAAAUAUGUAAAGUAUCAGAAAUGGAAAGUCUUCUCUCUAGCAACACUGAAAGCUAAAAGACUGUGAAGAAAGGCCUUCAGAAUUCUGAGGAAAAAUGCUUUUGGAAAUAGAACUCUAUAAACUAAAGACUCAUACAGGGGCUCAAAAAAUGUACUUCUCAUGGUUAUGCUCCAGCAAAGGAAACUGAUAAGAAAGAGGAAGUCAUAGAUGGAGGAAACAGGGAACCUACUAUGGAAGAGACAGAGAGAUGUCCCAGGAGAAGAGAAAUUCAUCUGGCCUAUGGAACAGCCAGUUGGUAUUACAGCAGAAGGAUGCAGUGCUCUGGAUGGAAAGUUUUCCAGGAAGAAAUAAAAAUGAGUCAGACAAGUAGCCUGAAAAUGUUGAAAGAUUUUGGCCAGAUCCAUUGAGCACUUGGAGAAAAAACAGUGUUAAGCAUAUAGGAAACAAAGCAGAUGAAAAAAUAAUACAAUUACAAGUUCCAGGAAAGGCAAAAAGGUUAAUAAGAAAGGAAACAUAAUGAAAGAACAUUAUGUUUACAUAGUCUUAAUAAUAGAAAUAUUACUAUGGGCCGGAGGUGGUGGCUCAUGCCUACAAUCCCAGCACUUUGGGAGGCCAAGGUGGGUGGGUCACUUGAGGCUGGGAGUUUGUGACCAACCUGGCUAACAUGGCGAAACCCUGUCUCUACUAAAAAUA